AUGGCAAUGCAAGACCAUCCUUCUCCGUGUGGCCGCCACCCCCAAAUCCUCUUGGAUAAAAAAUGUUUAGUGGGCCAGUUGAAAAAUUCCACUACCGCAAAAUCCAAGAAUAGCAAAGGGGUUCACUUGGAGGUUUCUUUUGAAGCAGUUGACCCUCCAGCCAUCUCACUGUGCGUUGAUCAGACCGGGGAUCGCUUGGCAGCACAGCCUCGUAUACUUGGUGUAACUGGAGGCUUUGUACUGCUGGCUAUCACCUUCUCUGACAGUGUCAACCGUUACUUGCGGUUCAUCGACUAUUUUGUUUACAAAGCAGGGCCCGAUUUCGCCUCUCUUCAUCUUCUUGCAAGGCCAUAUCCAUCUUCUGUUUCGCAAAACAUGGCUGCCAUCUUGCCCGUUAGUGAUAACAGUGAAGACUUUGCUGCCAUUUUCCCACAUGUUGAAUAUUUCAGACUUGAGUCUCGCAAACAUUACACACUCCACAUAUAUCGAUCCGACACGAAUGAUUGGCACUCUCAGGUCGCUUGUAUUGCUGAGGAUAAUGAGACAAGGAAUGCUAGGGAUAAGCUAUUGCUUCAUAAUGCCAUGAGCGUGGCAUAUGCAGAAAAGGGUAUCAUAGGUUGGAUUGAUCUCUGGUGGGGAAUUCUCUUAUGCAAUGUUUUGGAUAAAAAGCCUACCAUCCGUUUUGUUCCGUUGCCAGUUCCGGAACCGUGUGAUACGUCUGAGUUCCAUUUGAUGUUCGAGAAUCUCACUCCAAGACCACACCGUCAUGUGACGAUAUUCAAUGAUUUGAUCAAGUGUGUUGAGUUAGAUUUUCAUGUGCAAGAUGCUUUCUGCAACAUGAAGCGAACAAAGGAUUAUGGCUGGAUGGCUAAAACAUGGACUAGAUCAAUUUAUUCAGAUGUUUGGUGUGAUGGCUUGACGAUUGAUACGUCUGAGAUAUCUUUCACCGACUCAAGUUUGCCGAAUUUGUUGCCUGGGAUGUUUGAUGAGGAAAACAAUUUGACUUGGAAGAAAUUGACUAGUGCUGGUCCUACAUUAAGCUUGCUUGAUGACAAUGUUAUUUACAUUAUGGCGAAGGAGAGCAUGUGCCAUCCGACAGCAUAUGUACUUACUGUGGACACCAAAAGUUUGAAGCUCGAGUCUGGUGCGCAGUGUGCUCCUCAAAAGACGGCGUGGUUCGAACCAACAUAUGAACCAUGUGUUCUUUUUAGCUCUUUUGGCACGACUUCAGAGUUGGUUAAAGAAUUUGAAACCAAAGGGACAAUAUUUGAAAUCAAGGAAGGGCCGGUGCUCUCGGUGGUGUCGAGGCGUCUCCGUGUGCUGCGGAGGAAGCAGAAUCGCAUCGCGCAGAUGGAGGAGUCCGUCGCUGCCGGCAAGAUGCUUUACCAGGAGCAGAAGGAGCUCAUGCACUCCAAGCCCGUCAUCGCCGCGCUCAUUGACGAGCUUGAGCGCCUCCGCGUACCACUCUCCACCGCUCUCACCAAGGAGCUCACCACCGUCUCUGCACCUGCUGCCGGUUCCUCAUCCUUUGGCUCCGAUUUGUCCAUCCAGGACCUCCUCGCGCUCAUCUACUUCGGCUCCCUUUUUCAUGUCAAGUCACCAAACGAGUUCAUCGCCACCAUGGUUGCGCGCAAGCACGAACGGAGCAGCUGCAUCACCCACGGCUAUGUAUGGGAUGAUACCGUGGACCUGCUCGUGGAGGCUGUGGCGGCCCUUGCCGCGGCUCGCCCUUCUUCCGCAGAUGGUGUCUCCCACCACGACGCACUCCAGGCCUGUGCCCAUCAUGCCCGCCUAUGGCUAACCCGUGCUGAUGCGCCGAUCCACCCUGGCUCCUCUGUUACAUAUGCUGCGGUGAGGUCCAAGUUAGACAGGAUCAUGGCAUCAGACUACUACACAGCACCUGCAGUUGCUGGGAACCAUGGAGCUGAAGGUCUGCAGGCACAGAUGAGCAUGACCGACUCACCAGAGGCACCAUCACUCAAGGAGAUCCUAGCUGCUGAAAAUCACAAGGAGGACGAGGAAGAUUCCUCGCAUGCCACAGAAAUCGACAAUGAUCAUCAGUCUAAUGCAGCCGAUGUGCAAAAUGUGGAUGGUAAAACCCUGGUGAACCCUCGUGUGGAAUAUCGCGUGGCUGGGGCAGAGCAGGAGAAAUUUGAUGUGAAAGAACAAGAUCAGAUGUAUGCCGAGCCAAAAAAGCGACAGUUUCAGCACCCUCGGCAAUCUUGUCAGAACCAGCGAGGUGGUGAUCGUGGCAGGAGGGGGGCCUACCCUAAUGGCCGCAGCGGGCAUGGAGGCGGCCGUGGCAUGGGCAGCAGAUACGAGAAUGGGCGUGGAGGUGGUGGUGGUGGCGGCCAUGGCAUGGGCUGUGGAUACGAGAAUGGGCGUGGAGGUGGUGGUGGUGGAUACCAAGGAGGCGGCGGUGGUGGCUGUGGCAUGGGCAGCGGAUACGAAAAUGGGUGUGGAGGUGGUGGUGGAUACCAGAAUGACCGGGGUUGUGGUGGCGGAUACCAGAAUGGCCGGGAUGGUGGUGGCAGCAGCGGGUACUACAACAACGACGAUGGGUACUACCAGCCGAGGAACUUGAACAACAGGGGCAGGGGCGCAGGGAGGUGGCCACGCGGACACCGAGAGGAUUGA
rnacentral:rRNA from 1 species